UGUUUCCAAUUGAGACUCUUCUCUGCCUGGGGCCACGCCCACAGUGAAAGCUCAUUGGUCCAGAUGCUUCAACUUCCUACACAAACAAACUUCUGCUGUAUUGCUAAAUUGAAAGAAGCAGCUUGUUGUCAUGGUGUAUUCUAAAGUCUGGAUUCAGGACAGAGGGACAGUAUUUUAGUUGCUGAUAUGUGAUGCUGACGCUGUGCUGCAUGAAGAAGUUUUCAUUUAUAAAUGUUGGACUUGUGCCCAGACUGCUAUGGUAGAAUCUGGAAGAAAACACAAUAAGGAGAAGAACGUCAGACCAAUUUUGCAGGAACAUAUGUGGGGGGGAAAAGGCUUUAACAAAAGACAUUUUUCGAACAGUGAAAGAACUAGACCAUGGACAAUAGUUAUGAAUCUUUAAAAAUCUAUCCUGCGUCAACCACUAUUAUCCAUGCAGAGUCAAAAGAAUGCUUUAUCUGUCGAGAAGGAGACGAGAUGGGUUGUGACGCUCUGCUGCACUUCUGUGACUGCAAAAACCUGAUUGCUCACCAGAAGUGUGUGUUAACCUGGAUACAAAAGAGUUCUGAUAAUCAAGAUAGAGCAAGAUGCAAAGUAUGUACAGCUGAGUACCAGCUACAGAAAGGAUCAGUGUGGAGAAUCCUGUUUUGUCACUGGCAGAAUUGGCUCUUCUUCUGCUUGGUCCUGGCAGUAAUGACUAUCAUUCCCCUUGCAGUCUAUCGAAUGAUGGUAGCUUUUAAGGACCCUCCACCCAGUGCUGUAUUCCAUGCAGCAGCUGUGUGCUUUGGAGUUCUCGCAGAGACUCUUCUGAUAAAAUACGUAUUGUAUUACUGCAGCAGCAAAUACAACGAGGCCAAGAUGUCUUCAUUUUCCGUCAGAGCGAGAACUGUAGAACAAUGUGAUCGAGGCGUUGGUCUUCUGUGGCCAGCCGGUCAGAACCCAUCAACAGCUGUGAUGAGCAGAGCAGAGAUGGGGAAACAGGAGGCAGUCAAAGCCAAAGAAGGUUUCGGCCUGAAGCUGUGUGUAUGACUGAAGCAGAGCAAGGCCAGGACCCAAGGAAACCCCAGCAGCAAGGGAAAAAACAGAUUGACUCUCAGUGACUCAUUUAGCUCCUGGAUUGGACAAAUCUCUCCCCUGCUGGCAGUUUGGCUGAGCAUCAAUGAGACAGAUACCAGGAUGAAUAGCUUAAAAUAAUUAGGGGGCCAAUCUGCAAAACUGCUCUCAUCCAAUUCUUUACUGUGUGAUGAAAGACACAAAACAAAUUACAUUUAGAUAUUAAAUAUUAAGUCACUGGAUUUACCUCCAUUUGGUCCAAAGCAGGAAACUGGAUAAAAUUCAAUUUUAUAUCAUUGUGUUGAUGGCCUGUUUUUCAUCAAAUGAGUGAGUGUUUGUUGGCAGGUCAGACUCUUUGACACAUGGGGAAAAUAGGUGCUUAAUUUAAAUGAGAAUUAAUGCAAUCAUAAUUAACACAAAUGUGAACAGAAUUAAACACAGGCAAGAGUUCAGUUUAAUGCUUAGCAGUUUAAACUAUAUGUUUUAGGAAACAUCCUGCUUCAGCUGAAGACAAUGGCAGUGUUGCCACUGAAUUCAAUGGAAACCGGAGUAGGCCUUCUAGGUAGACAGGCAGGAUUCCCUGUACUUUAUAUUUAAUGCACAAAAACAGAAGCAACAAGCUCAUUUAGUAUCAGUAAAGGUCAGUUAAAAUUAUAGAGACAUCCUUUGGAGCAAAUCUUCUGCCUUGUAUUUGCAUAUUUAUGAACUAGAGAUUAUGACAGGCCAUUCCAUUUAUUAGAGCAGCGCUGCUAUAGUUAAUAGUCUGUCAGCGUUUCCAUUAUAAACCCCGUUUUUCAGUGUUUUAAUUUCUCAGCCAUUUGAAAUCACAUCAGGAAGCAACGUAGCCCUUGUGUUGUCAGGCCAGGUGCAUUUUUUUUUAAAUUAAUAAAAAUAUAUUUAAAUGAGCUCA
ensembl:lncRNA